rnacentral:miRNA from 1 species
UGGUAACUCCACCACCGUUGGCG